rnacentral:rRNA from 1 species
GAUGAACGCUGGCGGCGUGCCUAAUACAUGCAAGUCGAGCGAACGGACGAGAAGCUUGCGCCUCUGCGGUUAGCGGCGGACGGGCGAGUAAGACGUGGAUAACCUUCCUAUAAGACUGGGAUAAUUUCGGGAAACCGGAGCUACUACCGGAUAAUAUUAUGAACCGCAUAGAUCAAAAGUGAUAGACGGCUUUGCCGUCACUUAUAGAUGGAUCCGCGUUGCAUUAGCUAGUUGGUAAGGUAACGGCCUACCAAGGCAACGAUGCAUAGCCGACCUGAGAGGAUGAUCGGCCACACUGGAACUGAGACACGGUCCAGACUCCUACGGGAGGCAGCAGUAGGGAAUAUUCGACAAUGGGCGAAAGCCUGAUGGAGCCACGCCGCGUGAGUGAUGAAGGUCUUCGGGUCGUAAAGCCCUUUUGUUAGGGAAGAACAGCUGUGUGAGUAACCGUGCCCAUUUUGACGGUACCUAAACAGAAAGCACCGGCUAACUACGUG